UGCCUAAACCCACGGCUUUGCUGUGUGGCAUGGCGCAAAACCUUCGCAGUAGAAAGCUCCUAGUCAGAGCUCCUGCGAAGGUCGUAUGCCGAAAGGUAUACGGGUGGCGCGAGUCAUC
rnacentral:sRNA from 12 species